CUCUCUUUCUUUCUUUCUCGCUCUCUCUCUGUCUCCAGCGAUAACACGGUGGUUUCUGGGCAUUGAUAGCGCCGCCUUCUCACCGCCUUCUUCUCACCGCCGUCUUCUCGCCAGUGAGUUUUCCAGUCUACUGGAGGGUCUGAAUCCGGAUGGGUCGGGUAUGAAAAUGUUGCAAAUGGGUGAGUUUGCAGAGAAUUUGAAUUCGAGUCAUGUGUUGGAAACAGGUUCAGUUCAAAACCUAGGAAUGGAUGUGCAGAGUGAUAACAAUUCGGAGAGUUAUUUAGGUCUGUAAAGUGGUGAUUCAAACUGCUGGACUGACAGCAAUGGGUGGCCUGAUCUUUCUAUUUACACACCAGAAACUAGGGUGGCGAAGAGAGGAGCAUGAAUAAGUCAGACUUAUUGUGGCAUUUUCUAGUGCUACUGGAGGUGACAUAGCACAGGCCGCAACACUAGCAUCGUAUUGGUAAAUGGUUUAUCUUCUGUUGUUUGUCUAAUUUUUGUCUGUAUGAGUUUUAUGAAUGAUAAGCAGAGAGAGAGAGAGAGAGAGAGAGAGAGAGAGAGAGAGAGAAAACUAUUCACUAUUGUUUCUUGGUUGGUCUGGACUGAGAGAGAAAUGGCAUUGUUGGUAUAUGAGAAUCAUUAUACAUGCCCAUACUAUGCUAAUAUUAUCAGUAACUGUUACUAAAUAGCUUGUUCCCAUGCUGAUGUAUCUGUGCAUAUGUACAGUUUUUUUAUAUGAAUGUAUGUCAUUCUUGAGGGCUUUGCAUGUGUGGAGUUCUGUAUGCGUCUCUGCAUUCUUGAAGUCGAAGAAUUUUGAGACGACAUUUUCCUGUUUAUGAAUAAGAUAAUUGAAGGGUGGGGUAAGUUAUGGUUGGGGAAAUCCAGAAGUUCGUAGUCCCGUACUUUCUACCGUCUAUGAAGGGCUAGACAAAAGUUCAACUUCCCUUCCUCUGGAUAUAAUAUCUUAUUGUGAAGUUUUUGCAGUGGUAUUCUCUGCAAUUUGCAAAGAUUGCUGUUAUUAUAAAUGUUACUAUCAAAACAAUUCGAUAAAUGUUAAAAACAGUAGUUCCCUUAGUAUAAUAGUAUUGGUAUUGAACUUGUGUUAAUAUCGACUUUGGAAGUAAAAAGAGUACUUUAUGUUUGGAAGUAUAAUAGUAUUGGUAUUGAACUUGUGUUAACAUAUAACAAAAAAUUCUAUCUAACUUUGAAUGGUUCUUUAAAUCAAAGCAACAAUAUAUUUUCUUGAGUAGCUCAAAAAAAGAAAAAAAUUGAAAAUAGAAAAGGCAAACCAUUGAUUUAACUGUUUGAACUUUGAUUUGGUCUAGUUGGGGGUGGUUGGCUAUAAUUUCCAGAACCUUUGCCCUCUCAAAAGUUGUUUGUAUAUGCAUGUAUCAUAUCAUGUUAUUUGUACAAGCCUAUGAGAGCUUUAUGUUUGAAAUGAUCAUCCCUGUCUGCAUCCUUUAAUUUAUAGAUGGUUCAGUAGCCCUCAUGCCUCUUGCUUAAUGAUAGAUGGUUAAAGCAAUUCAUAUUGCUUUUUUGCAUUGUUUUCUAUAUUGUUGUGUCUCUCUGUUGUUUGCUGAAUCUCUGCUUUGCUGAAUCUCUGUCUUUUGCUGAAUCUGUUUUUUUUUUUUUUUUUUUUUUUUUUUUUUUUACUGCAAUGUUGAGUAACUCUAUGCAACAAUCUAUAUUGGGUGGUGUUGAGGUGCUGUCCCACUUUAUGAAACUGCAAUAUUCUGUUCAGAUACUACAUUUUGAUGCUGAGAUACUGGAUAACAACUAAAUUUAUGGACUGUUGUAUAAUUCUCAGCAUAUUAUUUUGUACUAGAAAAUGAACUGUAAGAGUAUUUUAUGAACUGUUUUGGGGUAAUUACUGGAUUGUGAAGGCUAUUUUUGAACAUUAGUUUUAUUUUCAGCUGUUGGUGGUCUUCAGCUGGUGCAGAACGAGUUUGUUCAUUUUGUGUUUGUGAAAAUGCACCAGGUUAAUUAUUUUUUGCUCAUCUUGGUGUUGCCUGGGACAUUUUUGAUGGACUUAUUUUUCUCAGUUUUUAUUGUUCUUGCAAUCUUUACUUAGCAACUAUGGUUUGUUAAUAGCAUGCCUGUGACAGUUUUGUUUGAGUUGCAAGUGCAUGGCUGCACGUGAGCCAAUUUUUGGACACUAAUGAUGUUUUGAAGAGAAUAUUUCUUGCAUUCAAUUGUUUGGGACAAUAGAAGGAAAAUAAAAUGGAAAAUAAAUUAUUUGGGAGAAUAUUGAUAAACUGUUUGGGACAAUAGAGAAUAUUUCUUGCAUUCAACUGAUUGAUAUCUUUUUGGUAGAGCAAUUUACUCCUGCUUGUUGAUUUACAUGUUGUAAAGUAUACAUCUACUAGAGAGUAGAAAGAAAAUGUCAAAAUUGUAUAGGACUUCUGUUCAUUCUUGUUUCUUGGGUUUAAAAUUCUAUACAUAUUCUUCCUUGCAUGGAAUCUGCAUCUACAAUAGGCAAUCUGCACCUGCAUCUGCAAUAGACAAUCUGCAUCUGCAUCUGCAAUCUGCACUUGCACCUUCAUCUGUAAUCUGCACCUGCACCUGCAAUCUACACCUGCAUCUGCACCUGCAAUCUGCACCUGCAUCUGCAAUCUGCAUCUGCAUUGCACUUGUAAUCUGCAUCUGCAUUGCACUUGUAAUCUGCAUCUGCAUUGCACUUGUAAUCUGCAUCUACAAUCUACACCUACAUCUGCAUCUGCAAUAGAUGUGAUUGUGGUGCUUGCUCAAAUCCUCUGAGUUAUUAAGUACUUUAUUGAGAAUAAAAAUUGAUAUAAUCUAUAAAUGUUGGUCUUGCCUAGGAAUGUUGGUAUUCAAUAGCCAACCUUCUUUUAAAAAAUAAAAAUAAAGUGCAGGAGUUGGGGAAACAAGAAUCAAGAAAAUUGAUUGAUUCAAGAGCGAUAGGUCUGUCUCUGCCCAUUCCAAAUACACAAUGACUCGAGCAUAUUGCUGUUUUAUACAUGGUGAUUGUCUAAGUUGGAAGCUGUAACCAGCAUUAACUAGUAUAUUUUCUCAAUUCUACAUCAAAGUGAACAAUGGAAUUUAUAAAAUAGGAUAAGUAUUUACCCAAAGAAAGGAAGCAGAUCAGAAUUAUGGUGGGUUGGGUUGGGUUGUGAAUGAAGCCUAAGACUCUAUCACAUAUAUCAUCAUAUUUCUAUACACAUAUCCCUAAAAAAGAAAUUCUAUUUACAAUUUUAAAUGGAGGACUACAUAUUAGUGUAAUUUUAAAAAGAGAAAAAAAUAUCAUAUUUUAAUAAUAUGUAAUCCCAUGAAAAAUGACCUUGUUAAGCUUGAUACAUCACACAUUUUUUUCCUUUUAUAAUUGAGAGGAAAGGGAAAAUUCUUUCAUAUGUUACUGUGACAUACUUAUUUUUUUAACCAAUCAGAAUUUAUUUGAUUGGUAAUAUCAGUGAUAUUGAUGCCUCAUCUAAUGGCUUUCAAUAAAUGACAGAUUUCCCUUUCUUUUUUCAAAUCACUGGUUUGGUUUUCUCUAUAUCAACCACAUGAGAGACACCCCUUAUCCCUUUCCUAAAUGUGAUCAAGUAGUUAAAAUCAGUUUAUUGACUCACUCUAUAUGAUUCGAUCCCUGUGAGUGAAAAAGACUUGUGUAUGGUUGGCUUAUCCCUUUCCAGGAAAAUGACGAGAAAGAAAAUUCAGAUAAAGAGGAUCGACAACACCACAGAACGGCAGGAUUGAACCAAAAUAUCAAGAAAUAGAGCAAAAACAUUUCAGAAGCUGUCAAAGAUUGAUGGAAAAGCUAGCUAAACCCAUAUAGAAAAACUUUCACUUGUAAAUUUAUAUUUCAUUGUGAUUAUGUUGGAUGGUUUUAUGUAAAACUUAAAACAAUGGUAGUGCAGUGGUUAAGUUUCAAAUAUGUACUUUGAGGUUAUAUGAAUGAUGUUUCAAGCAAAAACUGAAUUUCUCCAAAUAUAGUAUUUUUUGGUUUAUUAACUUGCUUUGUUUAUUAACAAGCAAGUACCUUUAAGUUUUAUUACCUUUAAAUUUGGCUAGCCAACAAUGCCUGC